rnacentral:lncRNA from 1 species
GGAGGAGGAGGAGGAGGAGGAGGAGGAGGAGGAGGAAGGAAGAAGGAAGAAGAAGAAGAAGAAGAAGAAGAAGAAGAAGAAGAAGAAGAAGAAGAAGAAGAAGAAGAAGAAGAAGAAGAAGAAGAGAAAAAGAAAAAAAGAAAAAAAAAGAUAGUUGUAGUUGGUACAAUCAUCAAGGCACACACACAAAACCCACUGUAGAGUCGGUUGGUCUCUAGCUCUAUGUAGUUGGGGAUGACCACAAACUUCUGAUCUUCUUGAUUCCACCCCCUCCCAACGUUGGAAGUAGGAGCCUGCUUUACCAGGCCUGAGUUAUUCAGGCGGAACCCAUGGCGUCAUGCAUUCGAGAUACUUUCUGGAUGCUCCUGGUGCACAAUGAUAUACUACAUCUGCGAUGGAGUAUGAUUCAGAGACUCACGAGACACUUCAGCACACAAGCUCACCAACUCGGUGGCUGCAAAUCUAAUCAAGUCGACAGUGAGGAAGAAGCACUACCCACCACCGUGAAUACCUGUCAGCCAGUGGGUCACAGGUGUGAGUCACUGAGCAGGAAAAGGAUGCUUGUGAAGCCGUGCAAAGAUGGGGCUGGAACGGUGGAUUGCUGGUUAAGAGCACUGGUGUUCUUGCAGAGGCCCUGAGCAUUUCCAGUGUCUACAUCACGUGACUCCCAGCUGCCUGGACCUCCAGAUCUAGAGGACCAGAACAAGAGGACCAGAACAAGACUGGCUCUAAUAUUGAAUUGAAUUUAGAAGAUUACCCCUCAUAUUGUAAAACCAAGUAGUCAGACACAAGUAACAAAAGAUACCUGUGGUUUUAUGUUCAUUUUGAGACGGGUUCCCAAGUAGUCCAGACUGGCCUUGAACUCACUGUGUGGCUGAGAAUGGCUUUGAAUUUCUUGUUUUCCUGCCUCUUUCUCCCAAGUGCUGCGAUCACAGACAUGUAGCGGCACACCCCGUUUAUGGAGAGCUGGAGAUUAGAUCCAGGGCCUUGUGUAUGCUAGGUAAGCACUCUACCAAGUGAGUCACGUCCCCAGCCCAAGACAUCUGGUUUGAACCAGAUCUUUUCAUUAGGUUAAGCAGGAAGGCAGCUUGCAACACAUGCAUGGGAAGUGUGCCAUCUUGGUUUAAUGAGUGGGUUUCUGCGGAUUGUUGAAACACUUCAACUUCCUUAACCCAGUAUCUGAUGAAGGAGCAAGGAUAGAGAAAUUAAUUUACCACACACUAAUUAAAGGGGGGUGCGCACUGUAUACACAGUGAAAGUCUCUGGAAUAAAUAUUUGAUAAACAGUAUCUGGCAAAUUAAAAACCCGAAAUGUUAAAUUAAAUGCAAA